rnacentral:rRNA from 1 species
CCCUUAGAUGUUCUGGGCCGCACGCGUGCUACACUGAGUGGAUCAGCGGGUCAGGUUGCGCGAAAGCGUUUCCUAAUCUUUAAAUCCGCUCGUGAUGGGGAUUGACGGUUGCAAUUUUCUGUCAUGAACGAGGAAUACCUUGUAAGCGCGGGUCAUCAUCCCGCGCUGAAUACGUCCCUGCCCUUUGUACACACCGCCCGUCGCUCCUACCGAUUGAGUGGUCCGGUGAGGCUUUGGGAUCUGAGCGGAAAGAGCGUUUCGCUGUUUCUGCUCGGAAAACUCAGUCGACCUUAUCAUUUAGAGGAAGGAGAAGUCGUAACA